GAAAUUGUGCAGGUUUGUCCCAGGGCAUUGGUUUUCCCUUUCAUAUCAUGUAUAGCUCCAUGGUGAUGCUUCCUGCUCCUGUUUCUUUCACUUCCUCUUCAUCAAGCCUCCUUUCAGAUAUAGUUCAUUCACAUUUACAUUAAGCUCUCUAAAAUUGUAGUUACUGGAUGCAUACAAAACUCUGAGGUGCCAUAUACGGCAGGGAAAAUAAAUGUUGCUGUGCUUUAUUACAAAGAACAAGGAGCAAAGACAAGGGCAUGGGAUAAAUAAGGAUAUAUACAUAUCGGCUAUUCUCCUGCAGGAACUUACCAUUUGCAAAUGUGACUCACCAAGCAAAAGGAUAUAGUGGUCAGCGUGUAGAAUACUGUGGGCAGAACUGUGGUGAGAAAUACAAAAGCAUAUCUUACUGAGGGGAGGAGCAAGAUGGCGGAAGAGUAGGGUCUCCAAAUCACCUGUCUCCACCAAACCACCUAGAAAACCUUCAAAUUAUCCUGAAAAUCUAUGAAUUCGGCCUGAGAUUUAAAGAGAGACCAGCUGGAAUGCUACAGUGAGAAGAGUUCGCGCAGCUAUCAAGGUAGGA
rnacentral:lncRNA from 1 species